UACGUAGGGGGCAAGCGUUGUCCGGAUUUAUUGGGCGUAAAGAGCGUGUAGGCGGCCUGAUAAGUCAAAGGUGAAAUCCCUCGGCUCAACUGAGGAAUUGCCUUUGAAACUGUCAGGCUUGAGGCCGGGAGGGGGUGGCGGAAUUCCCAGUGUAGCGGUGAAAUGCGUAGAUAUUGGGAGGAACACCAGUGGCGAAGGCGGCCACCUGGACCGGUUCUGACGCUGAUGCGCGAAAGCGUGGGGAGCAAACAGG
rnacentral:rRNA from 1 species